GAGGACUUUCGAAAGUGGCUGGAACCAGCCUCUGGGGCAGCCCUGGGCUCUGCCCACACCAGCACCGGAGCCAGAGCCUGCAGGUCUUGCGUCAUUCUGCACCCAAAGGAGCUGAUGGUUGGGAUCCUGAACCCUAAACCUGUGUGACCUUGGUGCACCACAGAGGGGGAGUACAAUUUCAGUGGCCCUGAAACUGCGACAGUGGCAGGUGAAGGGAAGGUGAGUGAGAAUGAA